CGGGCCGAGCACUGACGAAGGCGCCGCGGGGCAGGCGGGUUGCCAUGGAGCCGACGGCUUGUCUGUGUUGGGCAGAAGGACAUGGCGGAUUUCGACAGUUACAAUGAUCGGCAGCAGUUUGGCAGCGGCGGGGUCCGGGGAUUCUGCAAGCCAUCUGAAAAUUGACAAACUUCAACAGAUGUGUAGUGGAGAGUAUGCUGACUGGUUGCAUCACGACCUGGUUUGGAAACAACAUGGAAAGAUCUACAGACCAGACCAUCACAGGAAAAGCCAAGGAGUACUGUCACAUGAAAGUGGCGUCCAUCAUUUAGGACCCCCACCACUCAGGCCCUGUUCUUCUCGCUGCUGUCAUCAGGAAGGAGGUACAAAAGCCUCAACUCCCACACCACCAGGUUUAGGAAUCCUUCAAACAUCCGGCUCUUGAACCAGCAUGGACAAUUCCACUUACCCCUACAUUGAACUGAUUUCACAACCUAUGGACUGACUUUCAAGAACACUACAAAUCAUAUUCACAAUAUUAUUUAUUAUUAUUGUAUUUCCAGUUUGUUGUCUUGUGCACAUUGGUUGUUUGCCUUUGUUUAGUGCAAUUUUCAUUGAUUCUAUUGUGUUUCUUUGUAUCUACUGUGAAUGCUCGCAAGAAAAUAUUUGUACUUUGAUAAAUGAAUAGUUGAAGAUGCCUGAGUAUAUACUGAAUAUAAGCUUGAAUAUAUACUGCUGAAUCUGAAUAACAAUCAGUGAUAAAUUAGAACUGAGUUCUUAAGACCAUAGUUAUACUUAAACUCAAUUUUGUUCUUUAUUAAUUUGUUUAAUGGACAUCUACUCCAAAAUUGAAUGUUUUAGUCUACAAGGAAGCUGUUUCAUUGUGUUGUGCGUCAGUUGACAUUUCAGUUCCCUUCGAACUUGUUGAGUAGGAUAUUUAUGUCACGAUAGUGAUCUGCAUUGAUCAAAUUUUUUUUCAUUUAGUGGGUAGUGGUGGGAAGAGAGGGAUUGGCAAGUAGUAAAUAGAAAAAGAAACCUUUAAGAAUAUGAAACAGUAUAGUACAGGAUGGGUUUACAGCCCACAAUGUUAUGCCAACCUACUCCACAGUCAACCUAACACUUCCCUCCUACACAGCCCAUAACCCUCCAUUAUGUUCCAUUCAUGUACCUGUCUGCGAGACUCUUAAAUGACCUUGUUGAAUCAGCAUCUGUCAACUCCAGCAGUGCAUUCUAAGCCCCUAUCACUGUGUAAAAGAGAAAAAGAAAUCUUAUCUCUACUUACCUUAAAUGGAUGUCCUUUGGAAAAAUGUGCACUCUCCAUAUGCCUCUCAUAAUCUUAUAUACCUGCCUGAUUUGGGGGUGGGGGGGUGGGCAGUUGGCUGUUUACCGAGGCAGAAGCGUAGGCGGAGUCCAUGAAGGAGAGGUAGGUUUCCGUGAUGAGCUGAGCUGUGUGUCCAUAAUACUUUUCAGAUUAUUUCUGUCUCAGGUAGAACAGUUGCUGUACCUAACCAUGAUGCAUCUAGAAAAUCUGGUGAGGGUCAAAGUGGGCAUGCCAAAUUUGUUUUAGCUUCCUGAGAAAGUAGAGGCACUGAUUACGUGGUUGGACCAUGACACGCUAUUGAUGAUGUUCAUUCCUGGACACUUGAAGUUUUCAGCUGUCUCAACAUCAGCAGUGUGUGCAUUGUUAUUCCCCCACCCUCCCCUCCACUUGCUGUAGUUUGACCAGCUGUUUCAUUUUUUCUGUCCUUGAGACAAAAUCAUGACACUAUUCCACUAAACUAUCACUUUCCUGUACUCCAGCUCAUCAUUGUUUGAGAUGUGGCCCAUGAUAGUGAUGUCACCUGCAAACAUGCAUGGAGUGAGAGUGGGAUCUGGCUACACAGUCAUGAGUGAAUAGGGAGAAGAGUUGGGUUGAGGAUGCAACCAUGUGGGGCACCGGUUUUGAGAAUCAAGGUGGAAGAAUCAGGUUUAUUAUCACCAGCAUGUGUCAUGAAAUUUGUUAACUUAGCAGCAGCAGUUCAAUGCAAUACAUAAAAUAGAAAGAAAAAAAAUAAUAAGUAGAUCAAUUACAGUAUAUUUAUAUAGAACAGAUUAAAAAAUCAUGUGUGUGCCUUCAGGCUUCAGUACCUCCUACCUGAUAGUAACAGUGAGAAAAGGGCAUGUCCAGAGUGCUGGGGGUCCUCAAUAAUGGAUGCUGCCUUUCUGAGACACCUAGUGAUUGUGAUUCGUUAGUCAGGAAGUCAAGGGUUCAGUUGCAAAGGGAGGUGUUGAGUCCCUUGUUCAGGUGUGUGAAAUAGUGUUUAUUUGGAAUUAUAGUAUUAAAGGCAGAGCUGUGGUCAAUAAAUAGUCUCUGUCUAAUAGUUUAGUGUUUGUUUUGAAUUACAAUAAUAUUGAAGCCAAGAAUCAGACUGAAGUGAUGUGACUAGUAGAUCCUGUAAGAGACAAGUAUCUGUUCCCCUUUUGCUCUGUAUUCUGUGUUGUGUGUUUAUAAUGUUAAUUGGACACAUGAGUGAGGACAUGGUAAAAGCAAAGCGAAUAAGUUAUGUAUUCAAAGUACCUUUAUUAUCCAAGAAUGUUUAAAUUACAGAACCUUGAGAUUUGUUUGCUCACAGGUAGUCACAAAACAAGAAAUGAAAAAGAAACCAAUUAAAGAAAAAAGCAUAAAAAUAAAAGACCAACAGCCGAUAAGCAAGAGAAAAAAACACAUCAUGCAAAGUAUUGAAGCGAGCAACAGCAAUCCGAACCAAAAUUGAGUACUUAGAUCUGAACCCCAGAGUAGGCUAAAAACCUGGCUUAUCAGUUAAUCAUAUUAGCGGAUACGGAGCAUAACAGCCAGGAAAGUCUUCAUAGCCUCAGCGUUGUAGAGAGAGAGAGAGAGGAGAGACCGUCGUGGAGGACAAGUGAAAUCGGUUUCCAGAGCAAUCCAACCUCACACCCAGGUUAGUUGUACGGGCACUGAAUCUCCUCUGCCCAGGCUCCGACUUCCCUUGGUGCCCAGUGCAAUCCAACCUACACCCAGGUUAGUUGUAUGGGCAUUGGGACUCCAUCUGCAAUGAUUCUACAAAACACCACCUCAGCUCAUCCCCUGAACUUACCUCACCACGCUUGCCUUUGCACUGUUUGUGGUGAUAAUUAUAUACAGUUUACCUCAAAAAAGGUAUUUUUAGUCAUGUCUUUAGCCAGAUUUCUUAACUGUCUGACUA